UUUUGAUCCGAGUCGAUUUCAGCCUGGAGAUGUUUUCCAAAAGAUUUGCUAUCUUUGCCCUUCUCUUUUUGCUCUCUGCCAAAGGACACUGUCUUCUCAGAUUUCUGGUAGUUAUAAAAGAAGCGAAUCUUUGAAUCCACAGCAUCUGGAUCAUGGAAAGAUAAAAGGUCGAUGGUACCUGUUUAUGGACACACGUAGCGCGGACGUCAGAGACAACACCUAUUGGGAUUUUGAGGUUCUUCAUGAUGGGAGCUUGGUAAAAACACGUCAUCGCUGGUUUCCAAAUUUAGAAGAAUGUCGUACCACAGCACUGAAGUUUGUUCCUUUGGAUUUGGAUUUGUCUCCAACCGAAGCAGUGAAGUUUGAAGUCAUUCGGAUGUCGACAAAAG